UGACCCUUGCUAGUUCUCAAACAGAUGAUGGCUCAUACUUCUGCUUCUGCCUGGAACACUUUCCUUGCCGCCUCCAAACAUGCUUGCCUCACUCCCUCACUUCAUUCAGACGUCUGCUCUCAUUUUUAUUUAUUCAGAGCCCUCCUUUGAGUAUAAAUGCCAAACCGGAAACACUCCCUGACGCGUUAUUCGGCUUCCUGUUUCUUCGUUCUGCUGCUCCGAUUUGACCAACUCCAGUUCAACUCCGAAGAUCACCAGGACAGUCAUCAAGUGCGAGCUCCCACUGGAGCUAGGACUUCAUUCAAAGCCUUCGGAACUUCCCGCUUUCUAAGAUGAUGUCAGGUUCCUGUUCUGUGCCUUACCAUGCUUUCUGUGACCUCACCUCUGAAUGCAUGUGGUACCCCCUGAAGGUUAGUCCCCUGCUAAGAGGCGUGGUUCUCAAACAGUCUCUGAAACUGAAUCACCCAGGGAGUUUCAAAAAUUCCAGCGGCUGGGCUCCUCCCCCAGAGACUUAGAUUUAAUUGGCUGAAAUGGGACCCAGGCAACAGCAUUUGUAAAAAGCUCCCAAGUGAAUGCUAAUGCGUAGACGGGGUGGAGAACCGUAAGGCUAGAGAUCCAAAAGUGUAUUUCGAAAUUGCUGACCUUGCCAUCAAGGAAAUUCUAAAGCUUCAAGGAAAUAUCAAAUUAUCCUCUGUGCCCGCUUAGCAUUAAGUAAGCGAUAUUGUGUUCUAAGUUUUGGGAAAUUGGUAAUAGACUGUAGGGGAAUGUUUCUUAAUUAUUUGAAACAGUAAAUUAUCAAUAUUUUAUAUCCUCAA